GACGAACGCUGGCGGCGUGCUUAACACAUGCAAGUCGAACGGAAGGGCCCUGCUUGCAGGGUGCUCGAGUGGCGAACGGGUGAGUAACACGUGGGUGAUCUGCCCCUUACUUUGGGAUAAGCCUGGGAAACUGGGUCUAAUACUGGAUAGGGCCAUGCUGUAGGUGGUGUGGUGGAAAGAUUAGUUUCGGUAAGGGAUGAGCUCGCGGCCUAUCAGCUUGUUGGUGGGGUAAUGGCCUACCAAGGCGUCGACGGGUAGCCGGCCUGAGAGGGUGGACGGCCACAUUGGGACUGAGAUACGGCCCAGACUCCUACGGGAGGCAGCAGUGGGGAAUAUUGCAAAAUGGGCGAAAGCCUGAUGCAGCGACGCCGCGUGGGGGAUGACAGCCUUCGGGUUGUAAACUCCUUUCAGCCAUGACGAAGCCCUUGUGGUGACGGUAGUGGUAGAAGAAGCACCGGCUAACUACGUG
rnacentral:rRNA from 1 species